rnacentral:rRNA from 1 species
AAUGAACGCUGGCGGCGUGCCUAACACAUGCAAGUCGGAUGUGCCGCAAGGUGCAUGGCUGACGGGUGAGUACCGCGUAGGGAAUCUACCUUUUUGUGGGGAAUAACGCUCCGAAAGGAGUGGUAAUACCGCAUGAGACCGUGAUCUGGGAUGUUCACGGUGAACCCUGGGGUCCGCAAGGCCUGGGGCAUAAAGAGGAUCCUGGGGCUGAUUAGCUAGUUGGCGGGGUAAUGGCCCACCAAGGCGACGAUCAGUGGCCGGCCUGAGAGGGUGCUCGGUCACAAUGGAACUGAGACACGGUCCAGACUACUACGGGAGGCAGCAGUGGGGAAUUUUGCGCAAUGGACGAAAGUCUGACGCAGCAGCGACGCGUGGGUGAUGAAGGUCUUCGGACUGUAAAACCCUGUCGUCAGGGACGAAGGUGGCAGUGUUAAUAGCGCUGUUACUUGACGGUACCUGGAGAGGAAGCCCCGGCUAACUACGUG